rnacentral:lncRNA from 1 species
CCAUUUCUUAUGAAAAAAGUUGUUGUGUCUUGUGUUAAAUGUAGACUUUGCAACUUUCACCUUCCAUUAUUGAAUCAAUCUCAAGAAUAAUUUAGAUUUCCAGAAAGUAUACUUUUCUUUGAUUUCUCUUAUGUUAAUGGUAGCCAUUUUGUAAUACCCUAGAUUUUUAUAUCAUUUUUCCUUGUAUUAUUCCCUUAAUUAAUGAAGGAUUAUUUAUGAAAAUUCUUGGGUUUAUGCGAAGUUGAAGUUUCGGGUGUUUUUUUUAAAUGCUUUGACUUUUAAGAGGCCAAAAGUUGACUUUAUUUUCCGUAGGUUAUCUUCGAAAACUUUCUUCAUGAAAGUUGUAGAGCUUGUCGAUGCGAGUUCGUAGACAUGCGGCACGCUUAAAUUGGAAGUUGUGAGAGAAAGUUGUGUUCAGAGGAAGUUUGUUUCCGGGUUUGAAAAGAGUAUAAGUAGAAAAAUGUGAGUGGGAUUAAUUAGAACCCUAAAAUCAGUUUCCCUUCUCUCUCUCUCUCCUCCCACCCGAGCUCCCCGAGCCUUCACCUUCUUCAGCCGAGUUCUUCCUCCUCCGGCCACCAAACCGGACGCCACCGGUCCCAUUCGACUCCCACAGCAGCCUUCUCCAUUUCUGGAGCAGCUCCGGCCACUGUCCCGCCGCCUGGAAGCCGCCAAGAAGCGGCGGAGCUGCAGCUGUCCAGCCGGAAAACAAGUGUUUUCGACGUCGUUUCCGGCCAAGUAUAGGUGAGUCUUGAUCCUCUCCUCGCCCUGGUAGUGUUUAGGCUUGGAUUGAAGCAAGUUUGUAAGGUUUUGAGGUCGGUUUUGCAGGUUUUGGAUUUGAUUUUCUGGUCAUGGUUCGGGACGGUUUCCGGCCGGUUCCGGCCAAAAUUGGUCGAAGUCUCAGGUAUGAAAGUUGUUCCUUUUGCUUCAAGCUUCAACUUUGCUGUUGGGAGUUUCUCCUAAUUCGGAAGUUGUGGGAGGCACGUGGGGCCCACUCGCCGCCGCUUGUGGCGGCGCGUGGCAGCGCGUCCGGCAAUGUUUAGGGCUUAGUUUGCUGCAUUGUAGCUAGCUCUUGUUGUGGUGAGCUUGUUGAGAUGUAGACUUUCUAGGUUGUGAGAAGUGUUAGUAUGUUAGAACGUUAAGUGUGAUAUUAGGUUGGUGGAGGUUUGAGUUAGGAAUGGAGGAUUAGAGGCAGCCAUUUUGGGUCUCUAAGUUCGACGACUUUGGAAAGUUGUCAUCCCUUGAACUAAGGAUUAGUUGAGGGUUUUGUGAAAACCUUUGGUAUUUUAGUUACUAAGGUUUUUAAUUGUGUGUUUUAGGUGUUUUGUGAAGUGGUGUUUUUGGCUUGCUCUUGUUGUUGUGGAAUUUACAGCGGGAGAUUUAGGUGAGUAAAUCUCACCAAGGUUCACUUUUGAACCAAAUUUAAUUAUGCUCAUGUGAUGAUGAUAAUAAUGAUGAUGUUGGAUUUAAUAUUAUUCUUU